CGGAGAUGGCGACCGGCGCACGGUGAGUAACACGUAUCCAACCUGCCGAUAACUCGGGGAUAGCCUUUCGAAAGAAAGAUUAAUACCCGAUGGUAUAAUCAGACCGCAUGGUCUUGUUAUUAAAGAAUUUCGGUUAUCGAUGGGGAUGCGUUCCAUUAGGCAGUUGGUGAGGUAACGGCUCACCAAACCUUCGAUGGAUAGGGGUUCUGAGAGGAAGGUCCCCCACAUUGGAACUGAGACACGGUCCAA
rnacentral:rRNA from 1 species